rnacentral:tRNA from 1 species
CGGCCGGUAGCUUAACCGGACAAAGCUCCGCAUUACGGAUGCGGGGAGUGUGAGUUCGACUCUCACCCGGCCGU